GGAAGUAAAAGUCGUAGCAAGGUCUCCGUAGGUGAACCUGUGGAGGGAUCAUUUCUAUUAUUUACUUGUUUUAUGUUUGGGUGAGCUAUUAUUUCUUUUUAAAGAAUCAGAGGUUUAUUUUUUUGAAAUUUCUUUUAAAAUAUAAAAUAACCCUCUCCAGUGGAUGCCUUGGCUCUC
rnacentral:misc_RNA from 1 species